rnacentral:rRNA from 1 species
UACGUAGGGUGCGAGCGUUGUCCGGAAUUAUUGGGCGUAAAGAGCUCGUAGGCGGUCUGUCGCGUCGAUCGUGAAAACUUGGGGCUUAACCUGGGAACUGCGUUUGAUACGGAUGGGCUAGAGUUCGGGAGAGGAGAGUGGAAUUCCCAGUGUAGAGGUGAAAUUCGUAGAUAUUGGGAAGAACACCGGUGGCGAAGGCGGCUCUCUGGACCGAGACUGACGCUGAGGCGCGAAAGCGUGGGGAGCAAACAGG